rnacentral:lncRNA from 1 species
GGGAUUUUCAGAGCUACAGGGUUUUGACCAAAACUUUGACCACAACUGCCUCUCUGGAAGGUGAUGUCUUUUGUAGAGAGCAAGAAGUGGUUAAAGUAAUUCAAUAAGGUAAAUGUCAUAUUUCUGAGCAGUAAUUUGAAGAAAGAAUUUGCAAGGACUUUUCUUAAAAUUAAAAUUUCCAAAUGUCUUGACAUAAAACAGAUAGAGCAGCUCUGUGCAAUGAGGCCUGGGGGUCUGGUGUCCAGCCUACGACUUUGUGGAGCACACACUGAUUGCCACUGUAGAAGUGAGAAAACCAGUACACUAACAGUCACUUGCCCUGUGCUUUCACAUGGACUCAAGAGAACUCUGCAACCUCGAGGACCUCCUCAGCUCCUUGAAGCUCUGGGUCCCCCCCCCCCCCCCCCCCCCCCCCCNCUCAAGAGAUGUGGGUCCUUACCAGGCGGUACAGAUGAAGUAAAAUUCUCUUUCCCGCCAGCCCUGUCACUGCCUACUCUCAUGAGACAGGGGUCACAGAGCUUGCCAUUUCCUCACACAGCACAAACCUGUCAUGUAACUUGUUAUGAAAAAAUCACGAUGGAAAUCUCACAUGAUAGGACAUUACGUGCAAAACCAUCUGCUUUAAAUCCACAGAUGAAGAGAUUCUGUUUCUUCACUGUCUUCUUGAAAGCAAAUUCAUCACAAUAUGAUCGCUGGGGAAUGAUGUGACUUUCAGCAUCCAUGCCCAUAAACAGAGAUGGAAGUUAUUUCCAGCCAAAUGUAUUUUAAGUUUUUUUUAUUUAAUUAAAAAACUUCAGGGAAGCCCCAUUCCUCUGAUUAGUGACCUCAUUAAGAAUAACUAUUAAUCUUUAAGAAAAUCACAACAAAAUUCUCAUGUGAUUGUUUGAAAUGUUUCAUGUCAGAAAUUGUAAAUGAAAAUCUUUUAUACUAUAAUUCUAAUUCUUAAAUUACAACUACUUUAGACAACUUAAAGUGUUGUAUUUCCUGAUUUCCUCAUAUCAAAGGGGAUCACACAUGGAGACUCUGGAAAUUUUCUUUCAAUUGUUGGAAAAGUAAAUAUCUCAAAAAAAAAAAAAAAAAACCCCGCAAAAAAACCCAAAACAAAACCAAGCAACUUUCACAAGAAAGCAAAAAUUGAGAUUUCCUGUGCACUGCUUCCAAACCUCAGUCAGAGGCACACAUACUGUAUUUCAUCCAGGCAAGGCUGUUGAAGUGAAAUUGACUUCUGACAGUGUUUCCAUCUGGGAUUCUGAUGAUAGGAUUUGAUUAGGAACUGGGCCUGUAGCAUCAGGAUCUGGCAUCUACAUGUUCGUACGUCCAGAAGUCAAAACACUUGGUGCUGCCCAUGGACUGUCUACAGAGGCAACUGUAAAUGCCUUGAGUUGAUAGAAAUGAUUGUCUCACUAAUCACAAGCGUGGUGCUUCCCUGAAGUUCUUGAAGUUGUUCUUUUUACCUUCCCUCUGAAGGUAGUUCAGUCCGGUGUUUGUAACUCUAGGGUUGGACAUAAUGCACAAUUUCAUUCAACUUACUACUUUGACAGAUUAAGAAACUGAGACUCAGAUUUUGGUGAUUUGCUCAAGGACAAAGCAGAAAAUCAGGAUUAAAAACUGGCUCACAAUUCCCAGUCCAGUCCUCUUUCUGUUAUAGUAUGUAAUUUUUUUUUUUUAAA